rnacentral:rRNA from 1 species
UCCGUAGGCGGUGCGGCAAGUCGGAAGUGAAAUCUCUGGGCUUAACUCAGAGGCUGCUUCCGAAACUGCCGUGCUCGAGUGUGAGAGAGGCGAGUGGAAUUACGGGUGUAGCGGUGAAAUGCGUAGAUAUCCGUAGGAACAUCCGAGGCGAAAGCGGCUCGCUGGAUCACAACUGACGCUGAGGGACGAAAGCUAGGGGAGCAAGCAGGAUUAGAUACCCUGGUAGUCCUAGCCCUAAACCAUCAGGACUUGGGGUUUGCCCGUGUACGGGGCAAGUCCCGGAGCUAACGCGUUAAGUCCUGCGCCUGGGGAGUACGGUCGCAAGGCUAGAA